GCCAGACUCCUACGGGAGGCAGCAGUGGGGGAUAUUGCACAAUGGGGGGAACCCUGGUGCAGCGACGCCGCGUGGGUGAAGGAGCGUUUCGGCGCGUAAAGCCCUAUCGGCAGGGAAGGAGGAGGACGGUACCUGACUAAGAAGCCCCGGCUAACUACGUGCCAGCAGCCGCGGUAAUACGUAGGGGGCAAGCGUUAUCCGGAUUUACUGGGUGUAAAGGGAGCGCAGACGGCAGCGCAAGCCAGGAGUGAAAGCCCGGGGCCCAACCCCGGGACUGCUCUUGGAACUGCGCGGCUGGAGUGCAGGAGGGGCAGGCGGAAUUCCGUGUGUAGCGGUGAAAUGCGUAGAUAUACGGAGGAACACCAGUGGCGAAGGCGGCCUGCUGGACCGUAACUGACGUUGAGGCUCGAAAGCGUGGGGAGCAAACAGGAUUAGAUACCCGAGUACAA
rnacentral:rRNA from 1 species